GGAUUGUAGCUCAGCGGUAGAGCGCCCCCUAGCAUGGGCGUGGACCCGGGUUCGAGCCUCAGCACCA
rnacentral:tRNA from 1 species